AGGACGAACGCUGGCGGCGUGCUUAACACAUGCAAGUCGAGCGGAAAGGCCCUUCGGGGUACUCGAGCGGCGAACGGGUGAGUAACACGUGAGCAACCUGCCCUUAGCUCUGGGAUAGCUCCGGGAAACCGGAAUUAAUACCGGAUACGACCUAGGCCGACAUCGGCCAUGGUGGAAAGUUUUUUCGGCUAGGGAUGGACUCGCGGCCUAUCAGCUAGUUGGUGGGGUAAAGGCCUACCAAGGCGACGACGGGUA
rnacentral:rRNA from 1 species